rnacentral:rRNA from 1 species
GGUUCAGGAUGAACGCUGGCGGCGUGCUUAACACAUGCAAGUCGAACGGAGUAUUGACGCUGAGGAGUGGAGAGCUUGCUCAAAGCAAAUCUUGUCGAUACUUAGUGGCGGACGGGUGAGUAACGCGUGGGUAACCUGCCGUAUGCAGGGGGACAACAGUUGGAAACGACUGCUAAUACCGCAUAUGCACACAGUAAGGCAUCUUACAGGGUGGAAAGAAUUUCGGCAUACGAUGGACCCGCGUCUGAUUAGCUAGUUGGUGAGGUAACGGCCCACCAAGGCGACGAUCAGUAGCCGGCCUGAGAGGGUGAACGGCCACAUUGGGACUGAGACACGGCCCAAACUCCUACGGGAGGCAGCAGGUGGGGAAUAUUGCACAAUGGGGGAAACCCUGAUGCCAGCGACGCCGCGUGAGUGAAGAAGUAUUUCGGUAUGUAAAGCUCUAUCAGCAGGGAAGAAAAUGACGGUACCUGACUAAGAAGCCCCGGCUAACUACGUGCCAGCAGCCGC